UCGUCGAUCUGCUGCGGGCAUAUGAAAUGGAUAUGCGCGUCAAACCCGCCGGGGGUGAGGAUACGACCCUCGCCCGCAAUGAUCUCGGUGCCCGGGCCGAUGAUGAUGUCGACGCCGGAUUGCGUGUCGGGAUUGCCCGCCUUGCCGAUGAUGGCGAUGAGACCGUCGCGCAGGCCGACAUCGGCCUUGUAGAUUCCGGUGUGAUCGAGGAUCAGCGCGUUGGUGAUGACCGUGUCCAUGGCGCCGCCCGCGCGGGACCUCUGGCUUUGCCCCAUACCGUCGCGG
rnacentral:sRNA from 1 species